rnacentral:rRNA from 1 species
AUUGAACGCUGGCGGCAUGCUUUACACAUGCAAGUCGAACGGCAGCGCGGGCUUCGGCCUGGCGGCGAGUGGCGAACGGGUGAGUAAUGCAUCGGAACGUGCCCAGUAGUGGGGGAUAGCCCGGCGAAAGCCGGAUUAAUACCGCAUACGACCUGAGGGUGAAAGCGGGGGACCGAAAGGCCUCGCGCUAUUGGAGCGGCCGAUGUCGGAUUAGCUAGUUGGUGGGGUAAAGGCUUACCAAGGCGACGAUCCGUAGCUGGUCUGAGAGGACGACCAGCCACACUGGGACUGAGACACGGCCCAGACUCCUACGGGAGGCAGCAGUGGGGAAGUUUGGACAAUGGGGGCAACCCUGAUCCAGCCAUGCCGCGUGCGGGAAGAAGGCCUUCGGGUUGUAAACCGCUUUUGUUCGGGAAGAAAUCCUCUGGGCUAAUACCCCGGGGGGAUGACGGUACCGGAAGAAUAAGCACCGGCUAACUACGUG